UCUUAGAGUUUCCCCUGAGACAGAGAACACAAAAGUAUCUUUGGCUUUUCUGUGGGGAAAUCUGUUUUGCCCUUGGGGAAAGAGAAAAAUCCAGCCCCUAAAGACUAGCAAGUAAGACCUCUUCAGACUCCCAAGGCCACUACUUUGGUUUCGAGAAAAUGGGUAAGAAUUAUGUGCAAGACGGAUUAUUGCUAGCCUAAAUAAACGGUAGCCUUGGAAAAUUCACAGAACUUUCUAGAAAAUAAGUCAGUUAAAAAACUCAACAAAUCUAUUUAAUCAUUAGCUCUGUUACUGCAAAGUACUCUUCAUCUAUACUUUUAUUUAAAGUACAGCAGGCUGAAAGCCAAAAUGAGCUUUAAAAGGAAAAUAUGUACAUCUGUCAAUUUUAACUUCCAGACUUUUGAAAUCUUGCUGAAGAAAUCAACUGAAUUUUAUUUGGCUUUGUUUGUUUGUUUUUCCAUUUCAGCAAACAUCAGUACUCCUCCUCUCCAACUGUCAUUGACAAAUUUAAUAUGAAAAUAUUCUGAGAUUGGCUUCUGAAGAGCAAGGCCUGAGUCGCUUGGGGAAAAUAAGAGAAACCUUGUUUAUUGGGGGAAUAGGAAAGUCGAUAAAUCCCGGACGAGCUUUGAUCCUAAGAGAGCAACAGACAGAAGACACAGAUAUUUUUCCAAAUGCCCUGGAUGAAAACAGAGAUUAUUAGAAAGGACACAAGUGAAAAAGACUGCUCCAGAAAUGUUUUAGAUAACAUGUUAGAGUCCCUGUCAACUGCAAAGGAAUCUUGGGAGGAAGAGAAAGAAGGAUUUUUGCGUGAAGUCAACCAGCAAGCAACACAAUUAGAGACCAUGUACUUACCAAUAAUAACAGUGUUGUCAUCAGCAAUUAGCAACUUGCUGUGGACAUAGAUGAGCUCAGUGACUAGGUUUCCUUCAAGCUCUGCAUGCGUUCUAAGGCCACAGAAUGAUAUGUAAUUUAUCCACUGAUUGCCAACUAUAAAGUAAAAAAGAAAGUAUUCAAAUGAAUAUGACCUAGCUCAAUAAAGGCACAUUACAUUUUACUGUUUUUCAAAACAAAUAUACUCAUUAAAUAGGUGGUUAAGAAUAGAUUGUAUAGUGUGUGUGUGUGUGUGUGUGUGUGUGUGUGUGUGUGUGUGUAAUAUCAGAACUCACCCAGGAUCUAUUUUUGCUAUCAGAAGAAUCUUGUACUAUUAAUAUGGAUGGAUACACAUUAAAAAACCAUACUGGAGUGUUUGCUAUGAAUUACUUUUUCUGAGGCAAUCAAAAACAUAUCAAAUGUGAACAUGUAUUUUAAUGAUUGGAUGAGCAACUACUAACGAGUGAUAAUUAAAGCAGAGCCAGAGUAGAUAACCAAGACAUCAGUGUCACAUUUGCAUCUACCUUGGUUCACACUUGCUGCCGCUUAAAUCAGAUGCAAAAAUAUGAAUGCCUAAACUACUUGAUAUAGACAUAGUUUGCAGCAUUUUCAACACACAGCAGCAGUUAAAUUUUAUAGACUUUGUGUAAAUAAAAAUGUUGGCAAUUGAAUAACACUCCUUCUAAAUCAUUAAAAUCAGGAAAUGAAAGAACCUAACUACAUUUGACUUUGGAGAAUUUUCUCCAGAGCAAGCAGUACCAGGUUUGUACUUUAAAAUGCUGCCCUCUCAUCACAUGAAGGCCAUUCGUGUGAUAAGAAGAAAUGCAUUCCAUACCAAGCCAACCCAUAACCAUUAUCCUGGCAUGAAUGUCAGUCACACAAUUUUAUGGUCCUUCUCCCACACAGCAGUUGUCCUGGAUAAGGAAAGUCUUAUACUAAGAAUAAAUGGAGCAGAGCAAAACCAUCACGAAUUCUAAUAGAAAGAGAAUAUAAUUUUUCUCCUUUAAGAGAAUCUGAAGCAUUCUAACAGAAACAAUGGCGGUUCAUGUUCUGUUUACUGAAGUUUCCAUGUAUUACUGAUGCUUUCUAUUAUCCUGUUGAUGUUACUCGGUAUUUCUAUCAAAUAUGAGGGUCUUGGAAAGAAAUUCAUUCAUAGGUUAUAUAGAGAGAUUGGUCCAUUUACAGAUAACCCUUCCCUUAUAUAUGUAAAUAAUAUUGUAGCUUUGUUUGCCAAGAGUUGAUGUGUUGAUGUACUAGUACAUGAUGUGUAAGAGAUGCGUUCCUAAAAAGGUUCACGUACAUAAGAUUUUGGGGCGCCUGGGUGGCGCAGUCGGUUGAGCGUCGGACUUCAGC